rnacentral:tRNA from 1 species
GGAGGGUAUAGCUCAGUGGUAGAGCAUGUGCUUAGCAUGCACAAGGUCCUGGGUUCAAUCCCCAGUACCUCUG